rnacentral:rRNA from 2 species
GGGUUAGUAGGUUGGUCAUGCCUCUGGUAUGUACUGAUCUCACUGAUUCCUCCUUCCUUAUGAACCGUAAUGCCAUUAAUUUGGUGUUGCGGGGAAUUUGGACUGUUACUUUGAAAAAAUUAGAGUGUUUAAAGCAGGCUAACGCUUGAAUACAUUAGCAUGGAAUAAUGAAAUAGGACGUUCGAUCUUAUUUUGUUGGUUUCUAGGAUUGACGUAAUGAUUAAUAGGGAUAGUUGGG